rnacentral:misc_RNA from 1 species
AUGUCGAAAAAGUGUACCGUUCGUUCGCUCAGCGACAGCGCUCUGGCCGAGCUUGCCAAUCAGAUUGUUUCGACGAUCGGCUAUGCCAAAUACGCACCGGAUGUUGUGCUGGACAUCGACAUUGUGAUGGUCGACAUCAAUCAAUAUCUGGAACAGACAGGUGCCACCUGGUACGUAUAUCAGGAUCUGCUGCGCGUUAUACUCAGUUCCGACUAUUUGGAUGCCAACAUGCGAUUCACUUGCCUGCAAAUGCUGCUUAAUGGCAGUGUUGCCUUUUUGGUCACCGAGGUCUUUCCUUUUUCGUAUUAUGAAAAAAUUCUUCAAGUUAUUGCCGCCCAAGGAACCGGACUGCGUGUGCUCAACUUAAAGGGUGUGUGGGUCAAGGAGGAGCACAUGCAUUAUCUUUUCGAAAUCGUGCGUAAAUGUCAGUACUUGACGAAGCUCUUUGUGCCCUACAUUGCCAACGAUGAUCUACUGGAGGUAAUUGGCAAAUACUGUCGCCAGCUGCAGGUCUUAGACAUAUCUGGCGAAACAGAUAUUACCGAAAUCGGUGUGGAGUGCAUUAGUCACGGUUUGUGCAACGAUAAGCUAACGGUUGUGGAUAUUGGUAUGCCAGGGGAAGAGAAUAUAUGCUAUUCGGAUAUCGCACUCAUAUUGGAACACUGCCCCAAUGUUGAGACCCUGUCCACCUACUCCUUUGUCGGCGCUUCGCUUAAGUUCGUUCAUGACAAUAUUGACGAAGACUUUCGCUGUAAGCUACGCUAUUUACAUGAUACCGGCACCGAUGAGGAGACUUUGCGUAUUAUCAUGAAGACUUGCCCACACCUGGAGUCACUUUAUUUAGACACUCCAAAAGCGGGAGCGCUGAAAGUUCUCAAUAAUGUCUUCUUGAGGAAGCUGAAAAUCUACAAGUUUUCCUGCUCUGAACUAAUUGAGGUACUGGACAGAAUUGGUCACAAUCUUAGCCAUCUAACCAUGAUUAAGGGCGUAGGCUAUUUGGAGAUAAGUAAACUCGCACGAAUAUGCCCAAUGUUAAUAGACUUAGAUUGUUAUAUGAUGGAUGGACUCUCCUAUACGAAGGAUAUCAACCGGUUUGAGUGUUUGGAAGGUUUGGAAAUGCUGAGCAGCCCAAUGUCAAACAGUUCUCUAAAGAUGCUCAUCUGCAGUUGUCGACAGUUGAAGCGUUUGGCUGUGGACAGCAUUAGUUUUACAGAUGAAGAUAUUGUAAACAUAUUUGUGGAACACGAUUUCUAUGCGCUUGAAGACAUCUGGUUCACUUUGGCACCAAAUUUGACGGUGCAAUCAAUAGAGAUACUGAUGGAUCGCUGUCCGGAAUUGCAAUCGGUUGGACAAUUAAGCGGAUGGUCGUUGACUCCGGAUGACUUGGCACUGAUACGAGGCCUGCUAAAGAGCGGCAAUUCUUGUCUUGUACUUACACCUAGCGGUUUUUUUCCUUGAAAGCGUUUUACAUUAACCUGCACAUACUCACCCACAUACAUACAUAUGUGAUCUAACGCAAAAUCUGCAGUCGCGGGAGAGAAGUAGAGGGAAAACGACUGCAGUGAAUUUGAGGGCGGCACGAAUUCCAAGAAUGCCAAAGAUGAAUGUUGAAUUGUUUCAAAAUGUGAUAGUAAAAUAAAGUUAUUAACUAUUGUAUAUGGUCAAAAAGUGAUAUUCAUAUAAAAAAUUAAAAACUUAAAUAAAUUUAACUAACACAUUU